rnacentral:rRNA from 1 species
UUAUAAUUAAUGUUCUUAUUUUAUAAUUUAAACUAUUAAAAUUUGGGCUUAAACUAGGAUUAGAUACCCUAUUAUACCAUUUUAAUAAUUUAUUACUUGAGUAGUAAUCAGUUAUGUUCUUGAAACUUAAAGAAUUUGGCGGUGUUUAAGUCAAGUUAGAGGAACCUGUUCAGUAAAUGAUAUGCCACAAAAUAUUUUACUUUUAUUUGUUUUCAGUUUGUAUACCGCCAUUAAUAAAUAAUGUUUAAAAAUAUGUUUUAUAAUAAAGUUUCUUUAAAAUAUUAGGUCAAGGUGCAGCUUAUAUAAAAGUUGAAAUGGGUUACAUUAUUUUUUAUAUUUGGAUGAUUAAUUGUAUAAUUAUUUUGAAAUUGGAUUUAAUAGUAAUUUUAUUUUAAUAUGGUAUUUUGAUAAAAGCUCUUAGAUAUGCACAUAUAGCCCGUCGCUCUCAUUA